UUAAGCGACUAAGCGUACACGGUGGAUGCCCUGGCAGUCAGAGGCGAUGAAGGACGUGCUAAUCUGCGAUAAGCGCCGGUAAGGUGAUAUGAACCGUUAUAACCGGCGAUUUCCGAAUGGGGAAACCCAGUGUGACUCGUCACACUAUCAUUAACUGAAUCCAUAGGUUAAUGAGGCGAACCGGGGGAACUGAAACAUCUAAGUACCCCGAGGAAAAGAAAUCAACCGAGAUUCCCCCAGUAGCGGCGAGCGAACGGGGAGGAGCCCAGAGCCUGAAUCAGCAUGUGUGUUAGUGGAAGCGUCUGGAAAGGCGCGCGAUACAGGGUGACAGCCCCGUACACAAAAGCGCAUGUGCUGUGAGCUCGAUGAGUAGGGCGGGACACGUGGUAUCCUGUCUGAAUAUGGGGGGACCAUCCUCCAAGGCUAAAUACUCCUGACUGACCGAUAGUGAACCAGUACCGUGAGGGAAAGGCGAAAAGAACCCCGGCGAGGGGAGUGAAAAAGAACCUGAAACCGUGUACGUACAAGCAGUGGGAGCCCCACCACUAAGCCAGUGGUGAACUCCACAUACGCAUCCUUUGCUGAGGAUACGGUUAACGGAGCGAAAGCGACGUUCAACCUCAAAAGAAGCAGAGGGGGCUUAGUGGUGGGGUGACUGCGUACCUUUUGUAUAAUGGGUCAGCGACUUAUAUUCUGUAGCAAGGUUAACCGAAUAGGGGAGCCGGAGGGAAACCGAGUCUUAACCGGGCGUUAAGUUGCAGGGUAUAGACCCGAAACCCGGUGAUCUAGCCAUGGGCAGGUUGAAGGUUGGGUAACACUAACUGGAGGACCGAACCGACUAAUGUUGAAAAAUUAGCGGAUGACCUGUGGCUGGGGGUGAAAGGCCAAUCAAACCGGGAGAUAGCUGGUUCUCCCCGAAAGCUAUUUAGGUAGCGCCUCGUGAAUUCAUCUCCGGGGGUAGAGCACUGUUUCGGCUAGGGGGCCAUCCCGGCUUACCAACCCGAUGCAAACUGCGAAUACCGGAGAAUGUUAUCACGGGAGACACACGGCGGGUGCUAACGUCCGUCGUGAAGAGGGAAACAACCCAGACCGCCAGCUAAGGUCCCAAAGUCAUGGUUAAGUGGGAAACGAUGUGGGAAGGCCCAGACAGCCAGGAUGUUGGCUUAGAAGCAGCCAUCAUUUAAAGAAAGCGUAAUAGCUCACUGGUCGAGUCGGCCUGCGCGGAAGAUGUAACGGGGCUAAACCAUGCACCGAAGCUGCGGCAGCGACACUAUGUGUUGUUGGGUAGGGGAGCGUUCUGUAAGCCUGUGAAGGUGGCCUGUGAGGGUUGCUGGAGGUAUCAGAAGUGCGAAUGCUGACAUAAGUAACGAUAAAGCGGGUGAAAAGCCCGCUCGCCGGAAGACCAAGGGUUCCUGUCCAACGUUAAUCGGGGCAGGGUGAGUCGACCCCUAAGGCGAGGCCGAAAGGCGUAGUCGAUGGGAAACGGGUUAAUAUUCCCGUACUUGGUGUUACUGCGAAGGGGGGACGGAGAAGGCUAUGUUGGCCGGGCGACGGUUGUCCCGGUUUAAGCGUGUAGGCUGGUUUUCCAGGCAAAUCCGGAAAAUCAAGGCUGAGGCGUGACGACGAGGCACUACGGUGCUGAAGCAACAAAUGCCCUGCUUCCAGGAAAAGCCUCUAAGCAUCAGGUAACAUCAAAUCGUACCCCAAACCGACACAGGUGGUCAGGUAGAGAAUACCAAGGCGCUUGAGAGAACUCGGGUGAAGGAACUAGGCAAAAUGGUGCCGUAACUUCGGGAGAAGGCACGCUGACACGUAGGUGAAGUGAUUUACUCAUGGAGCUGAAGUCAGUCGAAGAUACCAGCUGGCUGCAACUGUUUAUUAAAAACACAGCACUGUGCAAACACGAAAGUGGACGUAUACGGUGUGACGCCUGCCCGGUGCCGGAAGGUUAAUUGAUGGGGUCAGCGCAAGCGAAGCUCCUGAUCGAAGCCCCGGUAAACGGCGGCCGUAACUAUAACGGUCCUAAGGUAGCGAAAUUCCUUGUCGGGUAAGUUCCGACCUGCACGAAUGGCGUAAUGAUGGCCAGGCUGUCUCCACCCGAGACUCAGUGAAAUUGAACUCGCUGUGAAGAUGCAGUGUACCCGCGGCAAGACGGAAAGACCCCGUGAACCUUUACUAUAGCUUGACACUGAACAUUGAGCCUUGAUGUGUAGGAUAGGUGGGAGGCUUUGAAGUGUGGACGCCAGUCUGCAUGGAGCCGACCUUGAAAUACCACCCUUUAAUGUUUGAUGUUCUAACGUGGACCCGUGAUCCGGGUUGCGGACAGUGUCUGGUGGGUAGUUUGACUGGGGCGGUCUCCUCCUAAAGAGUAACGGAGGAGCACGAAGGUUGGCUAAUCCUGGUCGGACAUCAGGAGGUUAGUGCAAUGGCAUAAGCCAGCUUGACUGCGAGCGUGACGGCGCGAGCAGGUGCGAAAGCAGGUCAUAGUGAUCCGGUGGUUCUGAAUGGAAGGGCCAUCGCUCAACGGAUAAAAGGUACUCCGGGGAUAACAGGCUGAUACCGCCCAAGAGUUCAUAUCGACGGCGGUGUUUGGCACCUCGAUGUCGGCUCAUCACAUCCUGGGGCUGAAGUAGGUCCCAAGGGUAUGGCUGUUCGCCAUUUAAAGUGGUACGCGAGCUGGGUUUAGAACGUCGUGAGACAGUUCGGUCCCUAUCUGCCGUGGGCGCUGGAGAACUGAGGGGGGCUGCUCCUAGUACGAGAGGACCGGAGUGGACGCAUCACUGGUGUUCGGGUUGUCAUGCCAAUGGCACUGCCCGGUAGCUAAAUGCGGAAGAGAUAAGUGCUGAAAGCAUCUAAGCACGAAACUUGCCCCGAGAUGAGUUCUCCCUGAGACUUAAAGUCUCCUGAAGGAACGUUGAAGACGACGACGUUGAUAGGCCGGGUGUGUAAGCGCAGCGAUGCGUUGAGCUAACCGGUACUAAUGAACCGUGAGGCUUAACCUU
rnacentral:rRNA from 1 species